ACCACACAAACAGACACAGAGGUGACCUACACUUUUGGGAGAAGCUGGGCGGUUUCGUUCUCCUUCCUGCCGCUGGCCGGCCGGCUGGUGGCAAGCUCGAUCGAGCUAGGAGUCAGAUGGAAGGCACGAUGAAGCACAGCAACGUUGUGACGGAGAGGAGCUCUGUGACCAAGCCCCGUGAACAGGAGGUGUCCGCUUGGCAUGAUGAGGCUGGAGAGCGUCUGGUUUGGACGCCGAGAGCAGCAGUUCAGCUGAUGCUUCAUGCCUAGCAUCAGCACGGCGUUAUCCUAAUUGAGCUUUUCAGCCACCAUCUUUAUCCUUCCUCAUAUUCUCCAUAUCGUGAUGCUUGUGGUUUCGCAAGAUCAGGUCUUCUUGACCUUGCAAGACCUUUUCUUGACCUUGUAAGACCCAACUCUACGAUACAUCUUUUCUUUGACCUAAUCUUCUCUACCUCACACCUUUCUAUCUGUUCUUACUUCUGUUCUAUGUCUAUCCCUUCUGAGCUGUGUUGAGCUACUUUGAUAAAGCUAGGUACUAUAGAUUAAGUGUUUUAGGAGGUGUUUCUCACAUGUGUAAUGUUGUGAGCUUGCCGUGUGGGAAAAAAAAAAUCCAUUUUGAUGGUAGCUAUAUAGAGUGAGGCAUGAGACAAACAAAAGUAUGUUCCUGUUGCGCCAUGAGCACAUGAUGCUCGGCCAUGUGAAGUAGGCGCCUACAUGCAAGCUAAGCUAGCUAGCUCCGUAUGUAUCGCCUCGAUGGAAUAAGCUGCUGCUCGAAACAUUUUGGAUCGU
rnacentral:lncRNA from 7 species